rnacentral:rRNA from 1 species
AGAGUUUGAUCAUGGCUCAGAGUGAACGCUGGCGGCGUGCUUAACACAUGCAAGUCGAACGAGAACGGAACAUAGCUUGCUAUGUUUGUCAGCUAAGUGGUGGACGGGUGAGUAAUGUAUAGCUAAUGUGCCCCUUGGAGGGGGAUAACAGUUGGAAACGACUGCUAAUACCCCAUACUCCUUCUAUGUUAAUCAUAGUUGGGAAAUGUUUUUUCGCCAAGGGAUCGGGCUAUAUGGUAUCAGCUAGUUGGUGAGGUAAUGGCUCACCAAGGCAAUGACGCCUAGCUGGUCUGAAAGGAUGAUCAGCCACACUGGAACUGAGACACGGUCCAGACUCCUACGGGAGGCAGCAGUGGGGAAUAUUGCACAAUGGAGGAAACUCUGAUGCAGCAACGCCGCGUGGAGGAUGACGCAUUUCGGUGUGUAAACUCCUUUUAUAUAGGAAGAUAAUGACGGUACUAUAUGAAUAAGCACCGGCUAACUCCGUGCCAGCAGCCGCGGUAAUACGGAGGGUGCAAGCGUUACUCGGAAUCACUGGGCGUAAAGCGCGCGCAGGCGGCCUUGUAAGUUGGAUGUGAAAGCCUACGGCUCAACCGUAGAACUGCAUCCAAAACUACUAGGCUAGAGUGUGGGAGAGGAAGAUGGAAUUAGUUGUGUAGGGGUAAAAUCCGUAGAGAUAACUAGGAAUACCAAAAGCGAAGGCAAUCUUCUGGAACAUUACUGACGCUGAGGCGCGAAAGCGUGGGGAGCAAACAGGAUUAGAUACCCUGGUAGUCCACGCCCUAAACGAUGAAUGUUAGUCGUCGGGUAGCUAGUCUAUUCGGUGAUGCAGCUAACGCAUUAAACAUUCCGCCUGGGGAGUACGGUCGCAAGAUUAAAACUCAAAGGAAUAGACGGGGACCCGCACAAGUGGUGGAGCAUGU